AUAGUUGGCAAUGAAAUACAGUGGAUGGCUCAAUACUGAAACUUCACAGGAGUAUUACUAGAAAUAAUCAGCUGUUUACGAAGUGCUUCAGAGUUCAGGUGUCCUUGCCAAAUGAGCAUUGGUUCAGUUCUAGUUAGCUUCACAUUAUUUGGCUGCAGAAUAACCCCCGCCAACUGCCCCACGAAUGUGUGAUGUUUUAAAAGGAGACUAGAACUGGGUGACAGUUGCAGAUAGAACUGCAGAAUCACUACCAGUUCAGGAAAAAUUAGUUAAAUGGUGGCAAUACCAUUUAAAUUCUCCUCCAUAAAACGGAGCGAGUUUCGACAGAGUCUUUUUAAGCAGGCUAGCGUAACUCCGUAUUUCAGCCAUAAAAUUUAUGUAGGCAAGUAUCAGAAAUUUGGCAUCUUGAAUUCUUUUUUUUUUUUUUUUUUGAGAUGGAGUCUCUCUCUGUCACCAGACUAGAGUGCAGUGGCGCGAUCUCAGCUCACUGCAACCUCCGACUCCCUGGUUUAAGCGAUUCUUCUGCCUCAGCCUUCUGAGUAGCUGGGAUUUCAGGCACGCGCCGCCACGCCCAGCUAAUUUUUGUAUUUUUAGUAGAGACGGGGUUUCACCAUGUUGGCCAGGAUGGUCUCGAUCUCCUGACCUCGUGAUCCCCCCGCCUGGCCUCCCAAAGUGCUGGGAUUACAGGCGUGAGCCAGCGUGCCCGGCGGACACCUUGAAUUCUUAAACCAUUUGAGUCUUGAAAGAUCUAAUUUCCAGCAUAGUUGUUUAUUGGAAGGUAACAGUAGAACAGACGUUGACGGUUACUUGAAUGAGUACCAAUUACAGGCCUCUGGCACUCAGAAUUGUCACUCACAGUUUUAUAAGAUGAGGUUUUUGAAAAUUCAGACUUUUUUUUUUUUUUUUUUUCUUUUUUGAGACGGAGUCUCGCUUUGUCACCCAGGCUAGAGUGCAGUGGUGCGAUCUGGGCUCACUGCAGCCUCCACCUCCCGGGUUCAAGCAGUUCUCUGCCUCAGCCUCCUGAGUAGCUGGGAUUACAGGCAUGCACCACCCUGCCCGGCUAUGAAAAUUCUGACAUUCUUUUAUGUCAGUGAACACCUAACUUAGUAUCUAGUUGACUCAAGAUGAGAGUUCUCAAUGCUAUAAUUUGAAUGUCUUUGAAAAUUCCACUAGUAUUAUACAAGCUUUUUCUUUUUCUAUACUCAGAGAGUUACUAAUGCAAUAAGCUUUGUCAAAUGACGUCGUAGUGUAGUCCAAAUUCAUUGUAUAAGGACUUAUCACAGUACAUGGAUUUGUAAUCAUGUGUCCUCAGAGCAUCCUCGGAACUUAGUA
rnacentral:lncRNA from 1 species